GGACCCUGAUGUUGGGGCCCUGAUGCCGGGGACCCUGAUGUUGGGGCCCUGAUGCCGGGGAGCCUGAUGCCGGGGAGCCUGAUGCCGGGGCCCUGAUGCCGGGGACCCUGAUGCCGGGGCCCUGAUGCUGGGGACCCUGAUGCCGGGGAGCCUGAUGCCGGGGCCCUGAUGCCGGGGAGCCUGAUGCCGGGGAGCCUGAUGCCGGGGCCCUGAUGCCGGGGGCCCUGAUGCUGGGGAGCCCCCGCCGGAGCCCCCAGGCCCCACCACAGCAGCGAGUCUGAAUCAUUUCCCGGAGUUUACUGAGCCUGGUGGAGCACUGACACGUGUCGGGCCCCCCGAUGGCCGCCUGGCUUCACCCUGGCUCCUGUGGGCACAAGACAGCAGCCAGCACCCUCCUGUGAGCAGGCACAGCCCAUCUCAGGGCGGACGGUGGGGCCGGGUGGCCCGCGGGCUCCACAGGGGCCGUCCCUGGGCUUCAGGAGCACCUGGGCCCAAGCAGGGCAGGGAGUGUGUGGGCUGCGCCAUCUGCGAAGCUGAGCCUGCCAGGCUUCGGCUCCCUCGGAGGCGACACUUGCCAGGAAGCCGCGUCCAGCCUCGCAGAGCCUCCUUCGUUGGGCCGCAAGCCCUGGAGGCCGAGCCUGGUGAGGCUGGAGACCCAGUGGGCCGGCUGCUGUGCAGGCUCUGGACUGGCCAGGAGCCCCUGGGCUCCAGCCCCGCACAGAUCCCGACCUCAUCCAGGCCUGGGGCGGGGGCACUCCCGGCUCAGCUGCUUCUCGUUGCAUCAGGAUGCCCGUGAGCCCCGUGCUCCUUCCUGGGCCCCGGCCCUGGCCCAAGGCUGGGCGGCCCUCAGGGAGGCGGGCGGAGCCUCGCAGGCCAAGCUUCUCUGUCCUGUUACUGCGGCUGUGCCUGAACACGUCAGGCUCGGCUCCAGCCCAGCGCUCCUUGCAUGAGGACUGUGGCCGCCUCACGCUCAGCCCUGGGCCCUCAACAAUCACCCGUGGCAUCAUCUGCUUGCACCGGGGGCCCACGAGCGUGCUGAGGGAUGACUAGGGAGCAGAAGAGGGCCGUGCCGUUGGGGUUCCAGCGUCUGGAUGGAUGGGUGGGUGUGUGCUGUGGGGUCUCCAACGCAGGAAAGGGAAACCGCAGGUGGCGCUGGGCUGAGACUCCGCUUCCUCCCUGGCUCCCCUCCGUGGAUUCCUCUGGGACUUUGUUUCUGGCGAGGGGCAGGUAACUGCUGCCUGGGUGGGUACUUAGGCAAGAAAUAUUAGAGGGUCACACAUCAGCAGCUGGUUUCUGGGUCGGGCACUGGGGGUCCCAGGGGGCGGGCACUGGAGCAUCCCUGAGUGCGGGCGCGGGGGUGGGGGGGGUCCCUGGGGGCGGGCACUGGGCGUCCCUGCCUCCUAGACACCAUUUCUGCCACUACUGCAGAGAUGAUCGCGCUGGUGCUCGGAGACGCUAGGCGCUGGCUCGAGGUCACAGCUAUUAGGCUGCAAACUUCGUCCUCAUUCUUGGGGUCGUGAGGCUCUGCUCUCAGUGCACAGUCUGCUGAGACCCUCUGCCCUUCCCUCUGCUCAUGCUCUGUACAUAAAUACAUAAAUAAGUAAACAAAAUGUGCAUUUUAAAAAGAUUUUAUUCAUUCAUGAGAGACAGAGAGAGAGGCAGAGACAUAGGCAGAGGGAGAAGCAGGCUCCGUGCAGGGAGCCCAUCGUGGGACUCGAUCCCAGGACCCCGGGGUCACACCCUGGGCUGAAGGCAGACGCCGGACCCCCGACCCCCGCAGGGCCCCUCUGUUUCUC
rnacentral:lncRNA from 12 species